ensembl:snRNA U6 U6 spliceosomal RNA
GUGCUGGCUUCAGCAGCACAUACACUAAAAUUGGAAUGAUACAGAAAUUAUCAUGGCCCCUGUACAGGGAUGACAUGCAAAUUCGUGAAGGCUUUUGUGUGUGU